AAUGCAGUGCAACAUAUUCGUGGAUUCUAAUGCAACAACCUAUUAUAUCACAUGGCAUUCGUGAUGCAUGAUUCAUGCUAAAACUUGCAUUAAUUUAAAACAUAAGGUUUAUUCUACUCACCUCAGGCUAACUCUGACAAUGAACUGAAGCAGCUGACUCACUGCUGGGGUCCUCGGUUCCUUGGGUCCGAACCUACACAGGUGGACUCAAAUAAGGGACCAAACAUACUAGAACAUGACUCUAAAAAUAUCCCCCAAAAACCCCCUAAAACACCUCAAAACAAUCAAAGAAUUCAUGCAAAGGA
rnacentral:lncRNA from 1 species